AUUGAACGCUGGCGGCAUGCUUUACACAUGCAAGUCGAACGGUAACAGGGUGCUUGCACCGCUGACGAGUGGCGAACGGGUGAGUAAUGCGUCGGAACGUGCCGAGUAGUGGGGGAUAACGCAGCGAAAGUUGUGCUAAUACCGCAUACGUACUGAGGUAGAAAGUGGGGGACCUUCGGGCCUCACGCUAUUCGAGCGGCCGACGUCUGAUUAGCUAGUAGGUGAGGUAAAGGCUCACCUAGGCGACGAUCAGUAGCGGGUCUGAGAGGAUGAUCCGCCACACUGGGACGGAGACACGGCCCAGACUCCUACGGGAGGCAGCAGUGGGGAAUUUUGGACAAUGGGCGAAAGCCUGAUCCAGCCAUGCCGCGUGUCUGAAGAAGGCCUUCGGGUUGUAAAGGACUUUUGUCAGGGAGGGAAAUCCCUAGUGCUAAUAACACUGGGGGAUGACAGUACCUGAAGAAUAAGCACCGGCUAACUACGUGCCAGCAGCCGCCGUAA
rnacentral:rRNA from 1 species